rnacentral:lncRNA from 1 species
UGCACUUCCAGCUGAAGGGAAAAGUGUAGAUCUCCUUCUCCUCUACGCAAGGACCUCGAUUUCCAAAAAGAAAAGGUAAAUAUCCAUCUCUAUCUAGUCUUUUGAUGACAUUAGGCUAUACAAAGGGUGGAUGUAGUCUAGAGGGGUCAGAUAAGGGUUGUAAAGAUGGUUAAAAGAGGAAGAAUCGGAUUUCGACAAAUUUUUCCGGCACUACGGAAAAACUGUGUCGAAGUCCCAACUUCGGCGAAUUAUUUAGGGGGUCAAACGGCCUCCGAUGAUGAUGCAUGUUUAUCUCUUUGGAAUCCCCUAUGAGUGUAGAAUGUUAGGUAAAAAUUUCAUCAAAUCUGAAGUCCUGAAAGUGGAUCAAAACCGGGAUGAAGUAACCCACUGUCAGUUCGGGUUACUGUUCAUCCGGGUGGAAAAUAGGGGAUUUCAUGCUAUAAUAGGGUAUUAAGCCUAGAUCAAGCUAAAAGGGACCUUGUACUCAUGCAAGAGAGUCCCUAAUACAUAUAAAUGAUGAGUUAAUUAAUAGAAAAAGAAAAAGAGAAAGAAAAGAAAAGAUUUAGGGAACAGGGGA